AUUCUCCUGCCUCAGCCUCCCAAGUAGCUGGGAUUACAGGUGCCUGCCGCCACACCCAGAUAAGGAAAUGAAGACCCAGGGAAGCUAUCUCUUGAGCGCGUCACGCAGCUGGCGAACCGUGGAGCAGGGCUUCCAAUGCAGACCUUUCCAACUCCACUGUCCCUGCUCUCCUGCGUGCCCUUUCCUGCCUUUUCUCAAGGGAGACCAUGAGAUCAAGAAAAAAGAUUUUCUUCUCCACGGCAAUUGAAGUGUUGACUUUGACAAUGAAAGCUACAGAAUGUAUGACGUUUCCCUUUUGGCCUUGCUUGCCAAGAAGCUUGUGCUUUUUGUCAAACUGUUUCCUUCCCCUUUCCAUGGUUUUGGUCUUCUACCUUUGACAGCCUUUUAUUCACGUGUCUUUUACUGUAAGCUCUUCUACUCAUAGAAUAAGCUGAGUAUUUAAAUAGAGAUUGAAUUGAAUGGAAAAG